rnacentral:rRNA from 1 species
GACGAACGCUGGCGGCGUGCUUAACACAUGCAAGUCGAACGGAAAGGCCCUGCUUUUGUGGGGUGCUCGAGUGGCGAACGGGUGAGUAACACGUGAGUAACCUGCCCUUGACUUUGGGAUAACUUCAGGAAAAUGGGGCUAAUACCGGAUAGGAGCUCCUGCUGCACGGUGGUGGUUGGAAAGUUUCGGCGGUUGUGGAUGGACUCGCGGCUUAUCAGCUUGUUGGUGGGGUAGUGGCUUACCAAGGCUUUGACGGAUAGCCGGCCUGAGAGGGUGACCGGCCACAUUGGGACUACGAGACGGCCCAGACGCCUACGGGAGGCAGCAGUGGGGAAUAUUGCAGAAUGGGCGGAAGCCUGAUGCAGCAACGCCGCGUUCGGAAUGACGGCCUUCGGGUUGUAAACCGCUUUCGCCUGUGACGAAGCGUGAGUGACGGUAAUGGGUAAAGAAGCACCGGCUAACUACGUG